rnacentral:rRNA from 1 species
UACGUAGGGUGCGAGCGUUAAUCGGAAUUACUGGGCGUAAAGCGUGCGCAGGCGGUUCGUUAAGUCAGCUGUGAAAGCCCCGGGCUCAACCUGGGAAUUGCGGUUGAAACUGGCGAACUAGAAUCUGGCAGAGGGGGGGUGGAAUUCCACGUGUAGCAGUGAAAUGCGUAGAGAUGUGGAGGAACACCGAUGGCGAAGGCAGCCCCCUGGGCUGAGAUUGACGCUCAGGCACGAAAGCGUGGGGAGCAAACAGG